rnacentral:rRNA from 1 species
UGGCGAGCGAAGCGGCGGGGAGACCCAGCCGUGGACGCCACACGAGUGAGAAUGCAGGCAUGAGUAGCGAAAGACGGGUGAGAAACCCGUCCGCCGGAUGACCAAGGGUUCCAGGGCCAGGCUAAUCCGCCCUGGGUAAGUCGGGACCUAAGACGAGGCCGACAGGCGUAGUCGAUGGACAACGGGUUGAUAUUCCCGUACCGGUUUACACGCGACCAUGACGAGCCCAGUGAUGCUAAGCCCACAAAGUCGAGGAACUCUUCGGAGGGAAUCGGUGGAGUGCGCGAACCGAACUGAUAGUAGUCAAGCAAUGGGGUGACGCAGGAAGGUAGCUCAACCGCGGCGAUGGUAGACCGCGGCCAAGGUUGUAGGGCGAGAUGUAGGCAAAUCCGCAUCUCAUGUGCCUGAGAACUGACGGGGAGCCGACUUAGGCGAAGUGAGUGAUCCUAUGCUGCCGAGAAAAGCCUCUAGCGAGUGUGUAAGCCGCCCGUACCCCAAACCGACACAGGUGGUCAGGUAGAGAAUACCGAGGCGAUCGAGUGAACUGUGGUUAAGGAACUCGGCAAAUUGCCCCCGUAACUUUGGGAGAAGGGGGGCCGCGGCUGGUGAUGGGACUUGCUCCCUGAGCUGGCUACGGCCGCAGAGACCAGGUGGAAGCGACUGUUUACUAAAAACACAGGUCCAUGCAAAGUCGCAAGACGACGUAUAUGGACUGACGCCUGCCCGGUGCUGGAACGUUAAGGGGACCAGUUAGUUCUUCGGAGCGAAGCUGAGAACUUAAGCGCCAGUAAACGGCGGUGGUAACUAUAACCAUCCUAAGGUAGCGAAAUUCCUUGUCGGGUAAGUUCCGACCUGCACGAAUGGCGUAACGACUUCCACGCUGUCUCAACCGCAGACUCGGCGAAAUUGCACUACGAGUAAAGAUGCUCGUUACGCGUGGCAGGACGGAAAGACCCCGGGACCUUUACUACAGCUUGGUAUUGGUGGUCGGUUCGAUUUGUGUAGCAUAGGUGGGAGACUUGGAAGCCCGGACGCCAGUUCGGGUGGAGUCAUCGUUGAAAUACCACUCUGAUCGUAUUGGCUGUCUAACCUCGAUCCGUGAUCCGGAUUAGGGACAGUGCCUGGUGGGUAGUUUAACUGGGGCGGUUGCCUCCCAAAGAGUAACGGAGGCGCUCAAAGGUUCCCUCAGCCUGGUUGGCAAUCAGGU